rnacentral:rRNA from 1 species
GAUGAACGCUGGCGGCGUGGAUAAGGCAUGCAAGUCGAACGGACCUUGCUGUUUGAUAGAUGAAAUGAGUAGCAAUACAAGUGAAGUUUUGAUAACAGCGCUGGUUAGUGGCAAACGAGGUAGUAACACGUGGGUAUUUCCCCCCAAGUCGUGAAUAACACAUCGAAAGGUGUGCUAAUACACGAUAGUCUCUCCGGAGUAAAGUUUUAACGCUUGGGGAAAAGCCUGCGGAGUAUCAGCUAGUUGGUAGGGUAACGGCCUACCAAGGCGAUGACGCUUAGAGGACCUGAGAGGGUGACCCUCACCGAUGGGACUGAGACACGGCCCAUACACCUACGGGUGGCUGCAGUCGAGAAUCUUCCACAAUGGACGAAAGUCUGAUGGAGCGACGCCGCGUGAUUGAUGAAGUCCUUCGGGACGUAAAGAUCUUUUAUGAGGGAAGAAGUUAUUGACUGUACCUCAUGAAUAAGGGGCUCCUAAUCUCGUG